rnacentral:rRNA from 1 species
GAUGAACGCUGGCGGCGUGCUUAACACAUGCAAGUCGAACGGAAAGGCUCCUGCUUGCAGGGGUACUCGAGUGGCGAACGGGUGAGUAACACGCGGGUGAUCUGCCCUGCACUUCGGGAUAAGCCUGGGAAACUGGGUCUAAUACCGGAUAGGACGAUGGUUUGGAUGCCAUUGUGGAAAGUUUUUCGGUGUGGGAUGAGCUCGCGGCCUAUCAGCUUGUUGGUGGGGUAAUGGCCUACCAAGGCGUCGACGGGUAGCCGGCCUGAGAGGGUGGACGGCCAAAUUGGGGCUGAGGUACGGACCAGACUCCUACGGGAGGCAGCAGGGGGGAAUAUUGCGCAAUGGGCGCAAGCCUGAUGCAGCGACGCCGCGUGGGGGAUGACGGCCUUCGGGUUGUAAACUCCUUUCGCUAGGGACGAAGCGAAAGUGACGGUACCUGGAGAAGAAGCACCGGCUAACUACGUG